rnacentral:rRNA from 1 species
CAGCAGCGCGGUAAUGCGUAGGUGGCAAGCGUUGUCCGGAAUUAUUGGGCGUAAAGGGAGUGUAGGCGGUCUUUUAAGUCUGAUGUGAAAGCCCCCGGCUCAACCGGGGAGGGUCAUUGGAAACUGGGAAACUUGAGUGCAGAAGAGGAGAGUGGAAUUCCACGUGUAGCGGUGAAAUGCGUAGAGAUGUGGAGGAACACCAGUGGCGAAGGCGACUCUCUGGUCUGUAACUGACGCUGAGGAGCGAAAGCGUGGGGAGCGAACAGGAUUAGAUACCCCCGUAGUCCCUGUCUCUUAUACA